CGGAUGUAGCCAAGUGGAUCAAGGC
rnacentral:tRNA from 3 species